GAAUGCUGACAUAAGUAACGAUAAAGCGGGUGAAAAGCCCGCUCGCCGGAAGACCAAGGGUUCCUGUCCAACGUUAAUCGGGGCAGGGUGAGUCGACCCCUAAGGCGAGGCCGAAAGGCGUAGUCGAUGGGAAACGGGUUAAUAUUCCCGUACUUGGUGUUACUGCGAAGGGGGGACGGAGAAGGCUAUGUUGGCCGGGCGACGGUUGUCCCGGUUUAAGCGUGUAGGUGUGUG
rnacentral:rRNA from 1 species